GGCAGUGUGGUCUAGUGGGUGGGGCACAGGCCUGUGAGUUGAGAGACCUGGGUUCCAUUCCCACCUCUGCCA
rnacentral:tRNA from 1 species